AGAGUUUGAUCCUGGCUCAGGACGAACGCUGGCGGCGUGCCUAACACAUGCAAGUCGAGCGAUGANUUCCUUCGGGAACGGAUUAGCGGCGGACGGGUGAGUAACACGUGGGCAACCUGCCUUAUAGAGGGGAAUAGCCUUCCGAAAGGAAGAUUAAUACCGCAUAAGAUUGUAGCUUCGCAUGAAGCAGCAAUUAAAGGAGCAAUCCGCUAUAAGAUGGGCCCGCGGCGCAUUAGCUAGUUGGUGAGGUAACGGCUCACCAAGGCGACGAUGCGUAGCCGACCUGAGAGGGUGAUCGGCCACAUUGGGACUGAGACACGGCCCAGACUCCUACGGGAGGCAGCAGUGGGGAAUAUUGCACAAUGGGGGAAACCCUGAUGCAGCAACGCCGCGUGAGUGAUGACGGCCUUCGGGUUGUAAAGCUCUGUCUUUGGGGACGAUAAUGACGGUACCCAAGGAGGAAGCCACGGCUAACUACGU
rnacentral:rRNA from 1 species